ensembl:lncRNA
CAAAAACCGCUACUGGUUGGCGACAUGGCAUAGACGAAUGGUCAUUCCUUUGGCACCGUUCUAUCUCUCCGGAAGUGGCAGCGGUGGUCCUCUGGUUCAAGCCCCAGUUGUUCCAGUAUUACCUGGAGGACAUCUGAAAAGUUGGCCCUUGCUGUUGCAGGAAGGGUCACCACUGCCACUUUCAACUCUCCGGACAGCAAAUGCAGCAGCUGCAGUGACCACUCCAGUGCGGGCCACUGGUACGCCUUUGCUGUUGCUUGGAAGACCUCCAUGAAGGCUGGGGGUCAUAUCCCUUGUCCAUCCGGUGGAGUGUCACUGCGGGGGCCAGGGGAAGCAGUGUUGGCAAGAGACACCGAACCUCCAGUGGUUUUGUCCGGUGUUUGGCCUGGUCCUGGAGUCAGUUGAGCUGUCUGUGGUGCUCCACCGCCUGCUCCUGAUCCAGCGGUUAGCUCUGCCACCAUUCUUGCCAGUCAUCCUAUGACUGGGUUUUGGCAUCACUCAUGAAAAUAACCCGGUGCACACAGUGUUACAAGAUGAUGUUGUUCUGAUGGCUUCUUCAGGUGCUGGCCUCCAGCUCACACUGCAGUGGUUCGCGGCCAUCAGCACCGUCAGGCCAUGGUCCUCAGAUGGAAAAUGGCAAAGAGCCCACUUCGGGUCAGGGACAAGUUACUGUCCCAAGUGUAGGAGUGUUUAUCGCUCAACUGGGAGGAGAAUCCUGGGGGGAACUAGACUGUUGAGCAUCUGGAAGGACAUCCAGAAUACUUGCUGAGCCUCCUGCCACCACAGCCUGAAUUCAGAUAAAUGGAAGAUAAAGGAUGGAGGGCCCUUUAAGUCUUAUCCAGGUGCCUGAUGAGUGAAGCACUCAUUGCAUUGUUUUAAUUGACAGGUGUCGCGCAGUAGAAGACAUCGAAACAGGAAGCAGAGAAAUUGUGGAGUUUUUUCAUAAAGUGAUCUGAAUCCCUCCACUCCCUUGGUGGCAGUACUUAUUGCAAGUUCUACUUCCCCACAUCGGACUCUGUGUUCCACAAAUCUACUACUUUUUAUUCCCUAAACCUGGAGCAGACUUCAAAACUGCCAAAUAAAUAUAACAUGAAUACUGAUUAACAUAUAUAUUAACAUGUUCUCUGUUUAGCAUCUAAUAAACCUGAAAAUAAAAUUUGAUUUUGUUUCUACAAUCUGCUUUACAUUUUAUCAAUGUCCAUCUUCUGCAAGUGGAUACACUAAGAGCCUUUAUUGUGAAAGGCAGGAACAGGAAGAAGCCCUUUUUGCACAUGUGAAGAAUAAAUGAAGCUUCUGGUUUAGAUCAGGCAGCAACAACCAGAUCUCUAAGGUACUUAAGGUAAACAAUAAACAAGCUGUUUAAUUCUCUGAUUUCUGAUCAGAUCUUCUCACUAAAACAGAAAAAUCAGCAUCUGACUGAGGUC